GCUCUAUCCUUUCAGAAGGGAAAAAAGAAACCAAAAAAUCUGUGGAAACAGGAUUUACAAAAGGAAAUUGCAGACUGUGUCCAGUGCCCCAGGUCAAAGGUUCUCCAGCAGAGAUUUAGAAGCUCAAAAUUAAUAGCGGGUCAGGCUCUCUAAAUUUUCAGUGCCUGCAAUUAAGGAAAACAUAAGGUCAUGUUUUCAAUUUACAAUUUGUUCUUUGCUGUUUGGCACUGCUGAUGAUACUUAAGUAAUGGUUCUUAGAAUAAUUUGCUCAUCAUGCUCAGAUCCGGCUCAAGGCUUCUUUUAUAUUUGUAUACAUUCAGAGUCACCCAUGUCUAGAGUCUGUUAAUCAGAGCUUUUGAAUCUGUCCUCAUAAGCAUUGCAAAAAUGCUUUUAUUUAAAGUAACAGUAAAAUAUAAUAAACAAAGAGGAAAAUAAUAAAAUAUGAUUGUCUUUAAACUGAUCCACAUCAUGUUAUAUUGGAUGUUCCAUCAAAAUUAAAAAAAAAAAAAACACACUUAGAAAAGAGUGAUUCUUUUACAGCAGUGAAAACCAAAUGCAUUCUAGUUCUUAUUGAAAAGAUUAAUCAAAUUGUAUCAUGUUGCUGCCUUAAUCUCAUUAGGAUUUAAAGAACAUGAGUUUAUUCACAGCCUUCUGCCAUCUCACACAAGACAAAUCUCCACAUUAAAGCAGUAUUCAGAGUCCCUUUAAUAUUGUGGAUCUCAAUUUCAUGUUUUUCACUUGCACUGAAAAUAAUAGUGUUUUGAACUGACAGGUUUUCAUAUUUCUAGCAAACUAAAAAUAUCUUUUUUUCUACUUAUCACAAGCUAACACUGUAUUAACAAUCUCAGUUCUUGUCUUCUCUAAGAUGGACACAUUCUCAGUUUAUUUCCACACAAGAGUUUUGGAAAGCAGUACUUAGUUCUAUUCAGUUCUUUUUUUUCUAGUGAUGCCUCUUUUGUGGUUCACAAUUUUCCCAGGAGCCUCAUAAUUCAGUUUUUUCCAUAUUGUUAUCAACACAGUCCUCAGAAGGCUUGAAUUUAAGCCACUUGUUUCCAGAGUGUUUGAAAUCUUUGCCCACAGUAUCAUUCCAUGCCAUACAGAACAGCUAUUCACCAGAUGCCAGAUGUAUAAAAUGCUCUUCAGUUGGCUUCUUUCCUCAGGAUUACUAAUUUCUAUGCCAAACUAAUUUCUAAUUUUUGGACUUCAUAGCUGCUGAUUGUGCUGUUUCCUCAGGGCAGUUGUUACUGGAAAUAAUCCCAGAUGUCAGUGAGUGCUGUCACAAAACUUUCAAUAAAGGCUUGAUGUAUUCUUUCUCAUCUACAUUUCCUGGAACUUCUAAGGGUGAGCAGUCAAACAUCAGUGCAAGUAGGUAACUGUGAGACCCAGGACUUGCUGCAGAGCUGAAGCAUUGCUUUUGUAAUCUAUUAUAGUUACAUCUUGACUGUGUAUCUAAAAUACCGUUCUUUCACCAUUUUCUUUCCAGUCAUUAGUUAAGCGUAUGUAAUUGUGUGGCAAUAUUCCUUGGGGAUUCAUUUGCUUGCCUACUCUAUUAGGCUUCUUAGCAUGUUUUGUUGGAGGGAAAAAUGUGUAAAACUACAUUACAGUUGCAUAGCUGAGGUGUCCACAGCUGACAGUGUGAGGGCUAUAACAAGUUUUGUGAGUUAAAGGACUGCAGUGUGUAAAGAUGGAAUUGCUUAAUGUAAAAUGCUACACUAAAUCCAACCUAUAAGAUAAGCUGCAUAGUGCAGAAAGAGAUACCAGUACUGUUAUCCCAUGUUUGUAUGUACAUAUUACAGUACUGCCUUUGAUGAUAUGAUCACAUGCUGUCUUAUUUCACACUAUUGUUACUCCUAGCUGUUCAUAACUACGUAAGGAAGAAGACUUAUGGUUUCUCAGGCUACUGUUAUGUCCUAGAAGUUUGAGUUUCUUAGUUUAGAGUAAGCUAAAUCUUGUUAUAUUUUUGUACGUAAUAAUGAUGAUGGCAGAAGUAUCUUUGGUAGUUUACAGAAAUGCUUUCAAGCAGCAUGCUCAUACCAAUUGCACAUUUUUCUAGGAUUCAUCUUCUCUCCCAUUCCCAAGGCCCAUCAGAAACCUCAUGUUCUAACUGCCUCGUAUCCUACAGCAGAUGUUUUGCUGAUCCUUUUCUCAGAGAAAGAGAACAUAAAAGCAACUCCCCCCACCAGAGCACAAUCUGAUCCCUUUAAGAGCUUAUUACUUUAAGCCUCCCAUCUGAGGGAUUUCAUGGGAAAGCACCUGAAUGGACAGCAUACCUCUGUGCUGGAAGCAGCCUUCUCUGCAGAGAUGCUGGUCACAGCACGGUGCUAGGCAGCCUGCUGUAUUUCUUGCUGUUCCAACCAAGAACCAUACAGAAGCACCAAAGGCCAGAAUGCCAUCUUUGACAAUAUUCACACACCUUAGGAGUCCCAUGGCAAUUUAUGUGCACACCUGAGUUGGGCAAGUAAUUGGAAAAUCGCUAAAAUUGGAAUCAAAGCACAGUACCAAAUACUAACAUUACUCAUUUUCCUUUUUGCAUUUUAAAUUCUGUUACUCUCCAGUAUUAUUUCUGUAUUAAAUAUAAUGCAGACUGUCUCAGACACCUUUGUUUUUAUCCACUAAAACCUCUCUAUUAUCUAUACUAUAUCCUAGAGUAGGGUUGGAUUCUCUAAUCUAUUAACACUUCUUUUUUCUAAUUCCAAUGAGCAAAUAGCUUCUUUAGGUUAGGCUAUUCUGCUUCAGAGCCUGGCUUCCUAGAUGCUAAUGGAAAAGGCUGCAGCUCUUUUGCUGCAAGCCCUGAGAUUAACUCCAUCCAAUCUUGCUGGACAUAGAUGAGGAGGAAGAGAACUCAGCUUCCUCUUUGCAUUGUUUCUUAUCAAAAGAGAGAAAAUUUGGGUGGUGGUUAAGGAAAUAAUGUCUGUUUUGUACAUUCACUGGCAUGACAGAUGAGCUAAAUGACCAACUAAUCAAGAUAACACAUCCUCUUGAGAAAUGCCUGAGAAUCUCCUGAAAUCAGUCCUUGUUUAGAAAAGUAUAGGUCUAAAUGUAUGUGCUUAUUUAAUUUCUUACUUAGUUAUUUUUUCCAGGGGCAAAUUAGCAUACAAUCAGAUUUCCCGACUGAAGGGACUCCAGAAAGGCAAAAAUGUUAUUGUUUUAGUGUAUGGGAACUGUUGGGUCGUGGCCUGAACCACUGAUUGAUCACUUGAGGCAAGGACUGAGUCAGCCAUGGGAGCACAGGUAAAAGCAAUUCAGCUGCGUGACAGGUGCCUGGCUCAACCCCUCCUAGACCCCAUUCAAGGGCUGACUGCAACUGGGAAACGUUCCCUUUCUGGAGAUCCCUCCUCUGUGGAAUCUUUCCUGUCAACCUAGAUCUUUGGAUAUAGUAUCUUCUCAAUUGUUGAAAAUCUCUCUGCUUCUGUCUGGAAUAACCCUGAAGCUGUUUCACCUGUGUGUUAGACUUUGUGGUCAGUUGCUGCAAAGGCAGAGAAAGGAGGGACAAGCGGUGCCUAAUUUGAAGACAGGAAGUGGUUGAACUUGGUCUCACCAUCUAUUCAACUCAAAAGAUGGAAAACCUAAGUGCCUCCUGGUGGUCUGUUAAAAACUGGAGAAGAGAGAGGACAACUGAAGCAGUGAGUGAACAGGAACAGAAUUGCCAUCAGAGACAGACAUGGUCAGGUCUCACAGGCAGACUUCACAGUAUGGAUAUUUCAGCGUGCUGAAAUAGUAUCUGAUGAGCAUUUUCAUCCUAGCACAAUUUGAUGUAUUUACUCCUUUGUAAGUUUUAAUUCCUCUUAAGGGGAACGAUCCUAUCAGUAUAAAGAGGUCAUAAGGACUGUUGCAUGAUCAGAUUAACUUCUGUUUUAUUGCCUCCAAUCCUUAGGUCAGUUUUGCUGAAUUUUGGACACAGUUUCUGUUCUGUUUCCUGGCUAUGCUUUCCAUUUAAUUGUCAUCAUACUCCCUCUCUCUUAUUGUUCAUUGCUUUAUUUAUAUUACAAGGCUUGUUCCAGAAGUAGUGCCUCCUGUUUUAUUGUGUUGGCCUUCAGCAUCAAGUGCAGAUGUUGCUGGUAUGCUAGUAGAGGCUGAAUCUUCCUACAUUCCAUUAUAUUUUGUUGCCAUGUGACAGAUUACAGCGGAGGGGCAGUCUGACCAAAUGGCAUCUGACAUGUAAGAAGCAAAGGUGUGGAAUUAAUUCCUCCAUGCAGAAAAUGGCAGCCACUGACAUUCAUAGAUGCCUGCUCAGUGGUUAUGGAGACUAAACAGUGGAUGUGAACACAGUGAGGUAGUGGGUGGUGUAUUGCAGAGAGAGUGACAGUGGGUCAUCUCUACCGGUGCAGAUUUGUUAUGAGUGUGGCAUGCAGGCUCUUGCUUAUUGCUGGCAAAAAGAAAAAAAAAAAAAAAAAAUCACAGUUGAAAAAGAGUGUUCUGUGGCUGAGAAUUGCUCUAUGUAGUGCUACUGUGGUUGUUGUAUCUGUUGUAUUUUCCAAGGAAAUAAAUAGGAGGCAUUACUUUUGGAGCAACCUAUGUAUUAUAAAUUGGUUCAUCGGUAUUAGACUGAUUCUAUGAAGAUUAGGUAUCUCUACUAGAUUUUAGGACUUUUUCCUAUUUUUCUUUUAGUAAUUUUUUUUUUCCUGCAACUCCCUAGCUUAUAGUGCAUAUAACAUGGGUUUACACUAUAGCAAUAACUUAAUAACAGUAAUAACUCGAUAGUAAUCCCUUCUUCACAAACUGAUAGCCAACUACCUGUUAAUGAUGAGACUGUUUGCUGUAUGUAUGCUAAAAUCUCUAUACUAAAAUAC